AACCGACAAAAAAUCAAUGCCAAGUACCGCGAGCGCCGUGAAAACCCAGUUCGCCCUCUUCCUCCGCGUUCGAUAACCUCAGAUUGAACAAAGGAAACUCCAUCGCGGCACAAGAAUCGCGAUUCCAUAAGCUUCAAUUUCGCGCACGCUAACAAUGCCCCCGAUGAAAGCUCAAGAACUCGAUUCUUCGUUAAGAUUCCGGCACAAUGAUUUAUCCCACGUGCAAAUUCAACAACAAAUCGACAUCGAGACUGAAAUCGAAUGCGUGAUUAAAAGAAAACAGGAGGCGAGGGAACCUACCGAGUCGUUCCGGUUCGUUUCAGAAUACAGAAUACAGAACCGAAGCUUUGGGAUCGAGAAGGAGGAUAGUUCCAAAACCGGCUUCGAUCGACCUUCACCGUUCACGUCAUGUCAGAUCCGCGCUAACAGACAAAAACGAUAUUGGUUCAAAAUAGGAAGCUCGCCGAAUUGAAGUGUCGUUGAUAAUGAAAUCCGGCCUCGAUUAGUUUUGUGGGAGGAGACGACAAAGAUGAGUCAUGGCUCCCUCAAUUGAAUUUCCACAGCGAAGACGUUGGAUUAUAGUUCUUUAAUUUGCAGUUGUGAAAAGAGUUGUUCGAAGCCAGAUUAAACAGCACCGAGAUAGGCUCCGAAUGGCAGAGAUAUGGAAGAAGAGCCUUACGUUCGAAGUGAAGUCUGCUUUACUGAGCGUUUCAAGGACAAGGUCGGAACAGAAUAUCCAGGUGAAUUGUUCUUCCCGAAUUCUCUUCCCUUCGAUUCACUCCUUCUUCUUCGUUUACGGAUUCUUCUUCUUCUGGUUUGUACUGAUGCGUUGUGGUUGUUUUCCGGCGAUGGUGAUAUGGAGCGGCGAGAUUUUAUGCAGAACCAUGCUUUAGGAAGAAUCAAGGAAUUGCAGGUCAUCAAGGUUGUGGAAUGUGCAGGUUGAAGAUGAUGAAGAAUGGAGAAGGUUUCUGCAGAAUGAAAGGCUUCGUGUGCAGGUUGAGAAGGUUGCGUUGAAAGAUUGAAGAAUAUUGAGGUGUGAGGUUGAAGAUGGACAGUGGAAAUUGAUGAUGAAUGGAGAAGAUGGAAAAAAGCCCCCCAAUCUGAACCGUGAAGGUCUUCAGAGUGCAGGUUUGGUUUGCUACAGGUGAGAGAUCACGGUUUCAACGGCACUGGUUUGUAUCGAUGAUUGUAGCUGUUGCAAAACCGAGUGCCGUGUGCUUGGCUCAUGGUCGACAUACAGAAACCGAAUGAAAUUGGUUGAAAAGUAUGCAGGUUGAUUAGAAUUGAAAGGCAGGUUGUUGUUCCGUUUCUUGGCCUUUUGGCUGUUGGCUAUCGGCUAUGAAAGUUUGGAAAGCUCGCAUUUGCAGCUUCACGUCACAACCGUUUCGUUUCCGCUUUGGCCAUAGUCAUUUGCAUUAGGAUAUAGGCAAUGGGUGUAACAUGGUGAAUUGUAUUUAUCAUGGGUUAGAGUUAGAUACUUGGACUUGGACAAUGGUCUUGGAUUAUGUAGAAGGAUAGUGGUUCAAAUGUUAUGAUUAAUUAUGGAUUUAGUUGUA